rnacentral:rRNA from 1 species
UACAGAGGGUGCGAGCGUUAAUCGGAAUUACUGGGCGUAAAGCGUGCGCAGGCGGCUUUGCAAGACAGAUGUGAAAUCCCCGGGCUCAACCUGGGAACUGCAUUUGUGACUGUAUAGCUAGAGUACGGUAGAGGGGGAUGGAAUUCCGCGUGUAGCAGUGAAAUGCGUAGAUAUGCGGAGGAACACCGAUGGCGAAGGCAAUCCCCUGGACCUGUACUGACGCUCAUGCACGAAAGCGUGGGGAGCAAACAGG